CGAAGGUUACCGGGAAUAACUGCGGCGGUAAGCGGCGCGUAGGCGGUUUAUUAAGUCAGAUGUGAAAGCCCCGGAACAAGAAAAGAAUUGCAUUUGAGACUGGUAGGCUACAGUGAGAAAAAAGAAGAGUGGAAUUUCAGGUGUAGCGGUGAAAUGCGUAGAGAUCUGAAGGAACAUCAGUGGCGACUGCGACUCACUGGGCCAUUACUGACGCUGAGGUGCGAAAGCGUGGGUAGCAAACAGGAUUAGAUACCCUGGUAGUCCACGCCCUAAACGAUGCCAACUAGGUGUAUGGAGAAUUUAUUCUUUGUGUAUCGAAGCUAACGCGAUAAGUUGACCGCCUGGGGAGUACGGUCGCAAGACUAAAACUCAAAUGAAUUGACGGGGGCCCGCACAAGCGGUGGAGCAUGUGGUUUAAUUCGAUUUAACGCGAAGAACCUUACCUGGCCUUGACAUGUACGGAAGAUUGAAGAGAUUCGAUUGUGCCUUCGGGAACCGUAACACAGGUGCUGCAUGGCUGUCGUCAGCUCGUGUCGUGAGAUGUUGGGUUAAGUC
rnacentral:rRNA from 1 species